rnacentral:lncRNA from 1 species
CUAGAGUGACAGAGGGUAGAGGAUUCGCUUGUCCAACUUCUUUUGCUUUAGUUUGAGACCCACUGGCUAAAGUAACGUUGGGAAGAAACUGUGAAUACGCAAUAUUUGACAAAAAAAUUUAUUACCAGAGAUAUGAUCAGAAGCAGCUGAGUCCACACCCCAUUGUUCAAGAGGAGUAGACUGGGAAACACAAGCAAAAGAAUUACCAGCAACAGAAGUAU